rnacentral:snRNA from 1 species
AGAUGUGGUGAUGAUCUGGUGACACCUGUCACCCCACCCAUCGCCCAGGCUGAUUUCCAUUGAUCUGGCUGGCAAGGCUAGUCUCCUCUUCCUUCCUCAUUGCUCCUGUGUAUUCCCCCUGAAGCUGAACUAUCCUCCGUCAGAAAAGAUGGACUCCAACAGAAAGGACCAUUCUUCAUUCAAGGGUCUAUGAGUAGCUGAACUUCUCUGUUAGACCCUUCAAACAAGCUCUUAAGGUCCAUAUAAAUCUUCCAUGACUGUUGGAAGUCAAUGCAGAUUUUUCCCCAACAGAUCAAUUAACUGUAAGACUAUGCCACAACUAAGU